GACGAACGCUGGCGGCGUGCUUAACACAUGCAAGUCGAACGGAAAGGCCCUGCUUUUGUGGGGUGAUCGAGUGGCGAACGGGUGAGUAACACGUGAGUAACCUGCCCUUGACUUUGGGAUAACUUCAGGAAACUGGGGCUAAUACCGGAUAGGAGCUCCUGCUGCAUGGUGGGGGUUGGAACGUUUCGGCGGUUGGGGAUGGACUCGCGGCUUAUCAGCUUGUUGGUGGGGUAGUGGCUUACCAAGGCUUUGACGGGUAGCCGGCCUGAGAGGGUGACCGGCCACAUUGGGACUGAGAUACGGCCCAGACUCCUACGGGAGGCAGCAGUGGGGAAUAUUGCACAAUGGGCGGAAGCCUGAUGCAGCAACGCCGCGUGCGGGAUGACGGCCUUCGGGUUGUAAACCGCUUUCGCCUGUGACGAAGCGUGAGUGACGGUAAUGGGUAAAGAAGCACCGGCUAACUACGUG
rnacentral:rRNA from 1 species